rnacentral:lncRNA from 1 species
UUUGUAAAACAAAUCAUUCAUUUGGAAAUACAGAAAGUCAUAUAUUCGCUGAAUAUAAUUUUUAUGGGGAACGGAAUUUCAUGCAUCAAAACAACUGCUUAAUUCGAAAAUGCAAGGAAAAUUAGCGAGUGUUUCGUACCCAAAAUGGUCGUACCAUUGUCAAGUUAGAAUGCAGUAAAUUUAACCCAAGAUAAUAAAACGUAAUAACUGGGUCACAAUAAAUAAAUCUAAAAGUUAGACUUUUUUUUACGUUUUUGAAAGAACUUAAGUAAUAUUUCUUUAAAAUAUUGUCCCUGCUAUUCAAUUGCCCAUUAUUUGUUUUUAUAUUCCAUGAUUUCUACAGAAAAUGGCAUCCUUUGGGCCUUUUUGCAAAGCUGAAAGCUUCAUCUUAGAAAACAUUUAUUCACUCAAUUUUCCCAACGUUAAAAUAGUUCUUGUUGGUUUUGUACUUGAAUUGGAGGCAAUCUCUGACAUGAAAACAGACUUUGCAGCUGUUUACCAAAUUUUUAUCAGAAUUCAAUCCUGAAUUUGAACAUGUGAAUACACUCACAAAUUAAGUAGAAUUCUUGAUCAAAAGAGAAAGCUCUGUGCAAAGAAAUAAGUGAACAGAGUUAAAAAUGUCAAAUUACUCAAUCAAAAUUUUGCAGGGCCAACAACAAAUACAAGUAAUCCUUAACUGGCAGAAGAGUUCCCAUCUGCUAGUCCAAAUAAUAUCUACAUGAAUAUUAAUGUCUAAUUUAUAAUAGCAAGUAAGUUUGGCUAGAAUAUUAUGACUUUUUAAUUUUUUAAUGUCUUCGUUUUCUUAACAGUAAAAUACAGAUACAAGUAAGGCUUAGAGGGAUGGGUGACUACUACAAAAUAUCAGAUCAUAAAAUUUGACAUCCAGAUAAACCAAAUGAACUGACACCAUGUCCAAAAGGCAGCCAGAAAGUAGCUCUGCAUGGUAGGAGUCCAUUAAAGAUGUGCCUGAUGAAACCAUUGGAAAUGUCAACAAUGGUAGCAUGGAUGGAAGUGACAGUGAUGUACCUUAAGAAAACAUUUGAAGUGACAAUGAUUGUAAGGUGGAUGAAAGUGACAAUGAUGUGCCUAUAGAAACCACUGCAAGUGACAACAAUGAUAACAUGGAUGAAAGUGACAAUGAUGGGCCUGAAGAAACCAUUUUAAGUGACAACGAGUGUAACAUGGAUGAAAGUGACAGUGACAGGCCUGAGGAAAAUAUUAUAAGUGAUAAUAAGGGACAACAAUAAUAACAUGGAUGAAAGUGGCAAUGAUGUGCCUGAGGAAAAUAUUGUAAGUGAUAUAACAGUUGUAACGUGGAUGGAAGUGAUACUAAUAUUUCUGAAAAAAACCCCUCAGGGAUUGGCUGUAAUGAAUGAACAGGAUGAUUUUUUGGGAGAAAUAAAUGGUGAAUAAAGAUAUUUUGGAUUUGACUUCACUUUUACUGAGAAUGACAAUAAUUCGUUUUCAAAAACAGAAAUUUGCAGCUUUUGUCUAUAUAGAUUUUGUCAUCUUUUUUGUAGACGAUUGUGAUUUUUUUUCAAUUUGGUUUGAAAAUUUGAUUAAUAAAAAUAAAUGUUGUUUUUUUUCAGAUUGUUUGGUAUUCAUAAUGUUGACAAACCCAAGUUAUAGUCUCAAGCUCCAUUUUAGUGAUCUGCUUUGUGUCCGGCAUCUGCCAACAAUACCUUCUUUUAACAUUUACUCCAGAACCGCUUGAACUUCAUUACCGGUAGUAGUAACUAAUCUGUUUUGCCCCCUUGAACAAUGUUUUGCUCAUGUCGGUCAGUAGGCCAUUUGGUUUCCGCUCAAUAACAAGAGAUUACUUAGACAUGCUGUGGUCAAACUUAAUAGGAUGACUACCUUUGGUCAGUAGGUAACCCCUUAUUGUUUUGGGGGUCAGUAGGUCAAAGAUCCAGGUCACAGUGACCUCAACACUGAAAACCAUUCCCACUUAAUUACAAGAGAACGCUUGAACCUGCAGUGGUCAACUGCCUAUGGCCAGUAGAUGAACCUAUAGUUUUUGGGGUCAGUAGGUAAAGUGUCUAGGUCACUGAGACCGCAGCACUAAAAAUGUUUGCAUUUUAGUUUUAUGAGCUGUAUCAAACUUUAAGCAAUUUAUGAAAUGUCUCUGUGUAAUGAGAGUAUAAUGGGCUCAACCCGUAAAACAACUGGCAUGGACAUCCUCAUGAGCUACAUCAAACUUUAUAAAAUUAAAUGUCAUGACAAUGAUAUGGGCUGCAACCAAUAAAACAGUUGACAUUGACACCCUUAUGGGCUGCAUCAGACUUUUAGAAAUGAAAUGUCUCUGAGAGUGUAAUGGGCUGCAACCUGUAAAUAAAAUCUGGAAAGUAGAUCCCUCUGAAGCACCGAGAACAAGGCAAACAGUGAAAAUUGCAGACUCAGUUUGAUUGAGUCUGUAAAACAACUGGCAUGAAGAUCCUAAUGAGCUGCAUCAAACUUUAUGGAAUGAAAUGUCACUGCCAAUUUUGGGUUGCAACCCACAAAAGAGUUGACAUAGACAUCCUAAUGGGCUGCACCAAACUUUAUGGAAUGAAAUGUCAUGGACAAUGUUAUGGGUUGCAACCCCAAAAAGGGUUGACAUGGACAUCCUUGUUGGCUGCAUCAGACUUCUAGAAAUGAAAUGUUUCUGAGAGUGUAAUGGGCUGUAACCUGUAAAAAAAUAAUUGGCAUGGAUUAGUCAUCCACCUCUUAUUGAUGUGGAGAAGUUGGCAGUUACUUGCGGAGAACAGGUUUGUACUGGUACAGAAUCCAGGAACACUGGUUAGGUUAACUGCCUGCCGUUACUUGACUGAAAUACUGUUGAAAAACUGCGUUAAAUCCAAAACAAAACAAAACAUACUUGUGAGCUGUAUCAAACUUUAAGAAUUGAAAUGUUACGGGCUGCAACCCGUAAAACAGUCUGCAUUGACAUACUAAUGGGCUGCAACCCAUAACACAGACAUUUCAGUUUGAUGCAACUCAUUAGUGUGUUCAUGCCAGUUAGUUUAAACUAUUUUUAUUCUGAAAAGCAUGAAAUAUUUGCAAUACAACAGUUCAGGAAUCGGACAGAAAGCAGUCAUAGCUUACAGCUGUCGUCCUAAUGCCAGUUGUGUUAUGAGUUGCAGCCCAUUACACUGUCUGAGACGUUUCAUUUCUUCAAGUUCGAUGCAGCCGUUUAGAAUGGCCUUGCCAAAUGUUUUAUGGGCUGUAGCCCAUAACACUGUCCAUGACAUGUUGGUUUGAUGCAGCACAUUAGUAUGUCCAUGUCAAUUGUUUUAUUGUUUGCAGAAUAGUAGUAAAAAGUGGUAAUAUUAAAAGAAAAUGCUCAUCACUAGUACAAGAGCAGUGUGAGUACAUACUAAGCCCUUUUCAGUUUUAAUACUGACAUGAAAGUAGAAUAUUUGUUUACAGAUCAUGCGGUAAUGAGCCUUUUCGGUGUUGUCCAAAGUCGCCAUAUGACCUAUAAUUGUGUUGGUGCAACUUUAAAUACAACAAAAAAUAAAUAAAUGUUUGAUGUUGUCCAGAGUUUUUUCUGUUUUGGUUUUAAAAGUGACUACGGAAUUGUAACAGUUUAUUACUCGCUAAUAUUGCCUGCCACUUGAGAAAUUUGUUUAUAACAGAUAGUUAAAGCAAAGAAACUUUAAUUAACUUAAAGGUAGUUCUGCACGUUUGGAUCAAACCUUUUUUACAAUGUAGAAUUUGAUUAAACCUUAAGAAUUUACCUAGAAAAUGCAGGAAAUAAAAAAAUAGAGUCGUGUUCUUGAUUUUUUGCUACACCGAUUUGAAAAAUGCGGACCUCGCACAAUAUUUUAUAAUGUGAGUUUAUGGAAAAAUCAUUAUUUUCGUAACAUUUUCACGAAUAGAUAUUUGUCUGUAAUGUAAAAUUCGAUGAAACUUCUCGUAGUUGUAAAUAAAGACAUGACCUAUAAUUUGAUGAAAUAAAAUGUAUAGGUCUGUGAGCUUAUUUUCAAGAUAUUUGACCAUGAUUAAAUUGAACCGGACAUUUCGAGAUAAUUUUAAGACGUUAUUUUGAAUUAUUUUAUGUGUCAUACGUUUUGAUUUAACUGAGACUUCAGAAAUAUAGCAACAGUGUCAUUCUAACAAAUUUACUCACAAGCUGCGAUUAAUUCAUACAAUGAUUUUCAUUUCUGUACGCCGAAUCCAAGUUUUAUUCUACGUUUUCCGGAUAAAUUACGUUACGUCAUCACUUCGGUUUAUCAAACGUACAGAACUGCCUUAAAACAACUCUUUAACUGUCAUAGUUUAAUAAUGAAAUGAAUUUUGCCAUUUAUAAUAAGGUUUGCCUAUUGAGUAACAAUAAGCUUUCUGGAAUGAUUUUUUUAGAUAGGCAGACUGUAGCCAAUUAGUCUGCACAUGAAAGUUGUAAAGGUAGCAUCCGUUUAUUCUGUUUCAGACUUUAGUUUUACAUAAAGGGUGCAACCCAUAAGUUUUAGUUUGUCCAAGUUUUUGCGGGGUGAACUCUGAGGUGCUACCCGCACUUCUGUUUUGUACUGGUUUGACAUUAUGGGUUGAAAUUUGCACCCCGUAAUACUGACUGUGGGGUGCAGCCCUUAUUGUAGCUCUCGUAGGUACGUCCGUCCGUCCGCAAUUUCGUGUCCGGUCCAUAACUCUGUCAUCCUUCAAGGGAUUUUGGUAUUACUUGGCACAAAUUUUU